GACGAACGCUGGCGGCGUGCUUAACACAUGCAAGUCGAACGGUAAGGCCCUUCGGGGUACACGAGUGGCGAACGGGUGAGUAACACGUGGGUGAUCUGCCCUGCACUUCGGGAUAAGCCUGGGAAACUGGGUCUAAUACCGGAUAGGACCACUGCCUGCAUGGGUGGGGGUGGAAAGCCUUUGCGGUGUGGGAUGGGCCCGCGGCCCAUCAGCUUGUUGGUGGGGUGAUGGCCUACCAAGGCGACGACGGGUAGCCGGCCUGAGAGGGUGACCGGCCACACUGGGACUGAGAUACGGCCCAGACUCCUACGGGAGGCAGCAGUGGGGAAUAUUGCACAAUGGGCGCAAGCCUGAUGCAGCGACGCCGCGUGAGGGAUGACGGCCUUCGGGUUGUAAACCUCUUUCAGCACCGACGAAGCGCAAGUGACGGUAGGUGCAGAAGAAGGACCGGCCAACUACGUGCCAGCAGCCGCGGUAA
rnacentral:rRNA from 1 species